AUUGAACGCUGGCGGCAGGCCUAACACAUGCAAGUCGAGCGGCAGCGGAAAGUAGCUUGCUACUUUGCCGGCGAGCGGCGGACGGGCGAGUAAUGUCUGGGAAACUGCCUGAUGGAGGGGGAUAACUACUGGAAACGGUAGCUAAUACCGCAUGACCUCGAAAGAGCAAAGUGGGGGAUCUUCGGACCUCACGCCAUCGGAUGUGCCCAGAUGGGAUUAGCUAGUAGGUGAGGUAAUGGCUCACCUAGGCGACGAUCCCUAGCUGGUCUGAGAGGAUGACCAGCCACACUGGAACUGAGACACGGUCCAGACUCCUACGGGAGGCAGCAGUGGGGAAUAUUGCACAAUGGGCGCAAGCCUGAUGCAGCCAUGCCGCGUGUGUGAAGAAGGCCUUAGGGUUGUAAAGCACUUUCAGCGAGGAGGAAGGCAUCACACUUAAUACGUGUGGUGAUUGACGUUACUCGCAGAAGAAGCACCGGCUAACUCCGUGCCAGCAGCCGCGGUAAUACGGAGGGUGCAAGCGUUAAUCGGAACUACUGGGCGUAAAGCGCACGCAGGCGGUUUGUUAAGUCAGAUGUGAAAUCCCCGCGCUUAACGUGGGAACUGCACUUGAAACUGGCAAGCUAGAGUCUUGUAGAGGGGGGUAGAAUUCCAGGUGUAGCGGUGAAAUGCGUAGAGAUCUGGAGGAAUACCGGUGGCGAAGGCGGCCCCCUGGACAAAGACUGACGCUCAGGUGCGAAAGCGUGGGGAGCAAACAGG
rnacentral:rRNA from 1 species